GUUAUAGGGUCAAGCGAACAAGUGCAUGUGGUGGAUGCCUUGGCGAUCACAGGCGAUGAAGGACGCGGUAGCCUGCGAAAAGCUACGGGGAGCUGGCAAACGAGCUUUGAUCCGUAGAUGUCCGAAUGGGGAAACCCACUCCUUAUGGAGUAUCCAUGGCUGAAUACAUAGGCCAUGUGAAGCGAACGCGGUGAACUGAAACAUCUAAGUAACCGCAGGAAAAGAAAUCAACCGAGAUUCCCAAAGUAGUGGCGAGCGAAAUGGGAUGAGCCUUGUACUCUUUAUUUGUAUUGUUAGCCGAACGCUCUGGAAAGUGCGGCCAUAGCAGGUGAUAGCCCUGUAGGCGAAAACAGUAUGAAAGAACUAGGUGUGCGACAAGUAGGGCGGGACACGUGAAAUCCUGUCUGAAGA
rnacentral:rRNA from 1 species